UACGGAGGGUGCAAGCGUUAUCCGGAAUGAUUGGGCGUAAAGCGCCCGCAGGCGGCAGUUCAAGUCUGCUGUCAAAGACCGGGGCUUAACUUCGGAAAGGCAGUGGAAACUGAACAGCUAGAGUAUGGUAGGGGCAGAGGGAAUUCCUGGUGUAGCGGUGAAAUGCGUAGAGAUCAGGAAGAACAUCGGUGGCGAAGGCGCUCUGCUGGACCAUAACUGACGCUCAGGGACGAAAGCUAGGGGAGCGAAUGGG
rnacentral:rRNA from 1 species